rnacentral:rRNA from 1 species
UACAGAGGUCCCGAGCGUUGUUCGGAUUUAUUGGGCGUAAAGGGUGCGUAGGCGGCGGAGUAAGUUGGGUGUGAAAUCCCGGGGCUUAACCUCGGAAUUGCAUUCAAUACUGCUUCGCUCGAGUACUGGAGAGGAGGCUGGAAUUCAUGGUGUAGCAGUGAAAUGCGUAGAUAUCAUGAGGAAUACCGAUGGCGAAGGCAGGUCUCUGGGCUGACACUGACGCUCAUGCACGAAAGCGUGGGGAGCAAACAGG